UCGUAACAAGGUUUCCGUAGGUGAACCUGCGGAAGGAUCAUUACCGAGUGAGGGCCCUUUGGGUCCAACCUCCCACCCGUGUUUAUUUUACCUUGUUGCUUCGGCGGGCCCGCCUUUACUGGCCGCCGGGGGGCUCACGCCCCCGGGCCCGCGCCCGCCGAAGACACCCCCGAACUCUGUCUGAAGAUUGAAGUCUGAGUGAAAAUAUAAAUUAUUUAAAACUUUCAACAACGGAUCUCUUGGUUCCGGCAUCGAUGAAGAACGCAGCGAAAUGCGAUACGUAAUGUGAAUUGCAAAUUCAGUGAAUCAUCGAGUCUUUGAACGCACAUUGCGCCCCCUGGUAUUCCGGGGGGCAUGCCUGUCCGAGCGUCAUUGCUGCCCUCAAGCCCGGCUUGUGUGUUGGGCCCCGUCCUCCGAUUCCGGGGGACGGGCCCGAAAGGCAGCGGCGGCACCGCGUCCGGUCCUCGAGCGUAUGGGGCUUUGUCACCCGCUCUGUAGGCCCGGCCGGCGCUUGCCGAUCAACCCAAAUUUUUAUCCAGGUUGACCUCGGAUCAGGUAGGGAUACCCGCUGAACCUAAGCA
rnacentral:misc_RNA from 1 species